GUCUACAGCCAUGCCACCCUGAACAUGCCCAAUCUUGUCUGAUCUCAGAAGCUAAGCAGGGUCAGGCCUGGUUAGUACUUGGAUGGGAGACCACCAAGGAAUACCAGGUGCUGUAGGCA
rnacentral:rRNA from 1 species